CUCCGGUGACAUUCUCUGUGGCGUCGGGGGCGCGGGGGGGGGGGGGGGGGGAAACGGCGGCGGAGGCGGCGGCGGCGGCAACAAGAAGGCUGAGACCCGGCUCCUCCUCGGCCGCCCAUGUCCCAGCUGCUGCCCCCCGCGGGGGGAGGCCAGGAGGGGCCCUGAGUCGUUGAGGCUGCUGUGUUGCUGAAGUCCCUAUCUAGUUCACCCAGUCUUCCAGACCGUGUGCUCCAUGCUUUGAGACCAGGAGGACCUUGGUGUUCUGAAAUGAAGAUGGAGGCAGUGGGAAAAGCAGAAGAACUUGUUGAUUCAGAAGUUCCACCAAAGACUUCUGAAAAGCAAGAGACUGCUCCUGAUGAAGACGGACCUAUAGAACUCGAGACACAAACUCAGAAAGACAACGUGCCCACUGCAGCAGACUCUGCGGUGCUCUCUUCAAUGCCUUGCUUACUGAUGGAACUGAGGCGAGACUCCUCGGAGUCUCAGCUAGCAUCUACAGAGAGUGAUAAGCCAACGGGUGGUCGAGUUUACGAGAGUGACUCUUCUAAUCAUUGCAUGCUUUCCCCUUCUUCCAGUGGGCAUCUGGCUGACUCAGAUACAUUGUCUUCCACAGAAGAGAAUGAGCCCUGUCAAGCUGAAGCUGCUGUAGAGGGAGACCCUUCUGCGGUGUCUGGGGCUGCAGUUGGGAGGAAAUCCAGGCGAUCCAGGUCUGAAAGUGAAACUUCAACAAUGGCUGCCAAGAAAAACCGACAGUCUAGUGAUAAGCAGAAUGGUCGAGUUACCAAGGUAAAAGGUCAUCGAAGCCAAAAGCACAAAGAAAGAAUCCGGCUCUUAAGACAGAAACGGGAGGCAGCUGCUCGCAAGAAGUACAACCUGCUGCAGGACAGCAGUACCAGUGAUAGUGACCUGACGUGUGACUCGAGCACGAGUUCAUCAGAUGAUGAUGAAGAGGUUUCAGGGAGCAGCAAGACAAUCACUGCAGAGAUACCAGCUGGCUUCAGUCGUGCUGGGGGAUCUGGAGGAGCGACCAGGGAAAUUCCAGGAUUGCUUGACAGGGGCACCGUGUGGGAUAGGAACUGCAUAGGCAAUGUCCUGGAAGAGGCCAUGAACUGCUUUGCCGAGAUGCAGAGGCAGACAGAGGAGAAAUUUCGCAUGUGGAUAGAAAAGCUAACCCGUCUUGACACGGAUGAAGAAAGCAAGCAACAACUGGAGCCCAGGGAACCUAAAAUUCAACUAGUUGGCCAAAGAAUCCCCCCUACCACACAGUCAGGGGCUUUCAUACAGAUGCCUGAUAGCCAAGUACUUCCACAGCAGUCAUUUAAUUCUUACGUGGGCUAUCAAAAUGUCGAUGCUACGCUAGAGUUUCCAGCGACUUUUAAUAACAAUUUUCCACCUAUCUUUCCAGAGAAUGGGAAUAUUGCAGAGCCUGAUCUGAAUCAAUCAUAAACUUAAAAAAAUCCAAUCUUUGCAAUCUUGAUGUUACUGUGGAUUAUGCUAAAAAUAAGUCAGUGGGAGUUUUUCCAUCAAUUUAUAUGAGGAUUUGGAUCAAACCUGUAACAGGAACUCAAGAAAUGCUUUUUGUUGUCAGUAUAAUACUAACACUGGUGUUUUAACAUUAUUCUUGGCCCAGACUUUUUUUAAGUAUGUGAUGCCUUCAUUAAAGAAAAAAAAAAGAGGCUAGAGAGCUGUGUUAUUUUCAGAGUAACUGUUUGAAAGACUAUGCAGGAGAUAAUUUUUAAGUACUGGAAUAAAUUCUUUACGGAUCACCUUCAUGCAUAAUUUUGAUACAAAGAUUUUGAUAUGAACUUGUAAGAAAACUCCCUCGUCUGACAUUGUGUGCGUUUUUGACUUCACUAUAGGUAAAAAGUUAAAUGAGUUAUUUUAUGUUUGAUUGCAAUUUAAUAAACUUGUCCUCAUCUGUUUAAAAUUUAAGAUCCUUCAGGGAAGAUUAUUUGCUGAUAUGAAAAAAAAAAUCAGAUCCUUCUGGUGUUCAUAGAUUUGAUAUAUAUAUAUACCUUUAUGACAAUGGUAAGAGCAGCAUAUUUUAAAGCAUGACAACUUUACAAGUCUUCCCAUGCAUGCAGAAGCAGCUUUUUGCAGUGACUGAUUUCUUUUAAUGUGUAAGAGUCACUUAACUCAGUAUGUCUGUAAGCAUGCCCUUAACCUUUUUUAUAAAAUAGUAUAUAUGGAGCAAUUAGGUAUUUCAAAACAAAUUGUGUAAGGAGAUCAGUUGAACUUAUUUAUCUCUCAGACUGAGACACAUUUACAUACGGAUCUCAUAAAUGGAUAACAGCUUUGUUAGGUAUGUAGCCAGUGAAAUUUCUGCCAAUCUUCAAUGUCUUGGUUAGGUAACCUUUAAAAAAAAUUAAAAGUAUUGAAAUAAUUCAGUGUAUUAAUAGAUAAAAAUUCAGAUUUUGUUACUACAGGCAAAAAUUAAAAACUUUCAAACAUUUUUAUCCAUUACUGUUAAUUGUUAUUUUCAAUGCAAGCAGGUGUGAACGUGAAAGACCAAGCAGAGGAUUAUAGCAGGUGAGCAUACAGACUUUAAAGCUGUACUCUUUCUAGGAUAAAAUUAUUCCAAGGCACCCAGAAGACUGAGGGAAUAGUUCGUAUUAGAUAUAAAUUUAACUUAAUUUCCCCACAAAAGCUACCUAGUGUUAAGAACACCUCUGCAAGACCAAUGGUUGUAAAUGGUUGUAAAUGGUAAAUUUUAUUUCGUUUGGUCGCUCUUUUCGCUUGCCUCAAAACUGGAGCCAGAUCUUCAGCUGUCAUAAAUCAGCUCCUUUGAAAUGAAAAGUGUGCGUUGAUUUACACAGUUGAAUAUCUGGUCCACUAGCUUGUUUUCCAUGUGAAGAAGUAUGUUUCUCCUUCUAGGAACUGAGAGGGGAACCCCACCUUUCUGUUGUUCAGGUGUAGUAUAACCUACCUGAUGAAGGAUUUGGCAGGCUGUGCAAUUAAACAGGAGCAUCUCUCUUCUUGCUUUGUAUUGUGAAUUUGAAAGAUGCAGAGCACUGAAGAAACCAAUGUUCAGAUACCAAUACUAGUGAUGAGUCUGUAUUUUAAAUGUGCACCCAACAGCCUUUGGCAUCUCUUUGAGAAAACGGAUUCCAAAUACAUAAUUUCAGAUUUAAUUUUUUUUCUCUCCUGGAAAUAUUUUUGCUAUAUUAUAUGGCUGCAGUUAAGUUUGUCAUGAUUUCCAUUAUAAGCUCUUAUUUUCAAAGGGCUCUGACUAGGAACUUUCAGGGAGUUAAAAUUUCUUCCGCUGAAAUUUUAACAUAAGUUUUAAUCUCAUCUAUUCUGUAUUUCAUUAAAGCAGACUGGCCUUAUUUAAGAUUACCAGAAGGAAACUCUUCUACUUUCCAACCCAGAGUUACAUUUUGAAUGUAUGUUUUUGCUCACAUCUCAACAAAUUACUUCAAAACCACCAAAUUUAACAAGGAGAGGAGAAAUCAGUAGGAGUUUUGCACAGACGUGGGGAAUCGCAGAUGAUAAUUUAGAGUUUCUCUAAUUGCCCUAGGUUUUAUUCUUCAGAAUGGAGUAAAGAAACAGUCUAGUUUCUUUAGAAUUUUACUUAUCUUAUGGUUUGAAAGAGUAAAUGCAUCAACUCAGAUCAGCUGGUGUAGACUGCUGUAAUUCUGGGGAGGAUGGUGCCAGUUUAACCCCAACUGGCCUAUUCAAAUUCCUAUAUAUUGCCAUUUUUAAUAUCAAAUUAUAUGUUUUCAGUGUGGCAGCUGUUUCUGCAUGGGAGUAACUGAACACCCGUAUGACGGCAGUCGGGAUUUAGUAGCAGGUGAAACACAGCUACUUUGUUAGCAAUCUUUGUGCAAGUGCAAAAUAAAUAAGUCCUUAUAUAAAGGCUCAAUUUAAAUGUCACUAAAUGUCAAACUGACAAUUCAGUAAAUGAAAAAUUAAAGGAUCUGCUCCUAGAAUUGGACCCUAUGUAUAGGAGUCCUUGGAAGUCCAGGGGCUUUAGUGUGCAGUGUUUUUGCAGGCUUGGCUGCGGGUUUUUCCCCAGGCAUUUGUGCGGCUUCCCUCCCUCGAGUGGGGUUUGGUAAGGAAGGUCUGUAGGAAAUUCCACCCUUCACACAUAGUUUUAUCUGAAGGUUUGGGGUUUUGCUUCGCAUGCUUCUAACAAAACAUCUGAUUUUUCAGGUUUUGUUUAGAAAAAUAAAAAUUUAAGGUAAUAUACCACAUAAAACAAAUUCAAGUAAAGGCAGUGAAACUUUAUUCAGUUUUUCUAUUGCAAAAAAAUAACUGAGCAGGGGGAAAAAAAGAAAAAUCUUAAACCUUUCAGAUAUACUGCUCUUCAGUGUUAUUUUUGAUAGUAUUAGGACAAAAUAAAUCAGGCAGAAAUAUACAUAUCUGUUUUUUUAAAGUUCACAGUGUCUUUUAGUGUUUUUGCAGGAUGGUUAGGUUAUUUUAUCUGAGCUGCUAGAGUUAAGACUGGAGGACCAAUCUUAACUUCAAUGAAACGGGAUUAUAUUUGGCAGUUAUUUUACAAAUUGAAACAUAUUUAUUAUCACUGAUUUCUCUAGUUAAUAUAUUUUGUCUCUUUCUGUAUCCACAUACUGUACAUCUCUUUUUUUAAAGUAAUAUUUCAAGGGCAUUAAGAAAUUGAAUCCUAGCCCUAUUAAAAGCAGUAGAAAAUUUCUACUAAUUUCGAUGGGGCUAGCAUUUCACCUCAUUAGAAAUUGAAUUUAUUCUGCAGUUUUUGGUCAGAGAAUCCUUCAGCUGACUUUAAGGGGAGGCGUUGUCUGAUAAGCGUGUGUAAAUCAGGCCAGUUGAGUAGAUGUUUUUAAAAUAACCGAGGUCUGCACUGUGACCACUGCAGUUACAUUUGGAAGCAUUAGAACAAAUGCACUGUGUAAUUUGUACUGUAGAAGCUAAAAUAUUCAGGCUGAUUGAUAGAGAUGGACAGUACCUUGCAAAACAUGAAGCUAGAAACCGGUCUUUCUCACAAAUUUUAUUAGUCUCAUAGUGUUAGAUCAGCAAAAUUGAAGGCACAUGGAAAAUAGGCUUAUUAAGUUAGAAGUGUUUUCAAGCGCUCGGUUAAAUCUCGCAGACUGAUCGAGCAGGAGGUUAGUCUGGACCAUCAAAAGUUUUGCAUCAAGGCUGUAUCAGUCCUUCCAUGGGAAGAUGCAGUUUACUUGUAAAAACGUGAUGUUUUCUGGAGGGUUGCGUACAGGGUGCAUGUUUGCCUGCCUUUUCCUAAUGUAAGUUGUAUUUACAUAGGGAAUAUUUUUUUUAACUGUCAUAGCUAUGUAAGAGUAGGUGUGACAGUUUCCAAAACCCUCCUGAUAGGCUUUUGCAAGUAAAACUGGAGAAGAGAUCUGGCUAAUAUAUCUGCUUCCAUAAUUAAUGAAUCAUAAGGUGGCAUCAGGGAAAAUAAAUCCUAUCAUGAGAUACGAAGUGCAUGCCAUGCCACUUCCUGGUAUUUUCGAUACACAGCCAUGUUCCAUGUGCCUUUGCUUAACGCACAAUGCGAAAGACUUUAUUAUGUCUUUAUAUAUAAUUUGGUAAAAAAAAUCCAAGAUAUUUUCCAUCUAGUCAUCAAAAAGCCCGAAAGAAUGAAUGUUGAUCAGCGAGACUUGAAUUUUUGAGAUCUCUUUUGAUGUGAUAUAUUAAAAAUGAUCCAGUCUGAGAACAGAUACUCAUUUGAUUGUGUUGUUUUGAGUUUAUUAUUUUAUUAUUAUGGUAAAAAAAAACCAAACACAAAAGCUUUACUGUGUGAAAUGAAGGAAAAUAUGAGGAAAGUGGAUUCAUCGAUAACUUUUUGUUCACUUUAUGACUCUAGAGAGAAUGUUGUUACACUACUAUUGUUUUUUUAUUGUAUUUACAAUGUAUUCUUUGCCUAACCCUGUAAAUUUUGAAAUGUAACUACUGUAACCUGGAAUAAAUAAAUAAAUAUAAAUAGAA